rnacentral:snRNA from 1 species
AGCUUUGUACAGUGGCAGUAUCGUAGCCAAUGAGGUUUAUCCAAGGCAUGAUUAUUGCUAUUUUAGA